AGUGAACGCUGGCGAUAGGCCUAACACAUGCAAGUCGAACGGCAGCACAGUAAGAGCUUGCUCUUACGGGUGGCGAGUGGCGGACGGGUGAGGAAUACAUCGGAAUCUACUUUUUCGUGGGGGAUAACGUAGGGAAACUUACGCUAAUACCGCAUACGACCUACGGGCGAAAGCAGGGGAUCUUCGGACCUUGCGCGAUUGAAUGAGCCGAUGUCGGAUUAGCUAGUUGGCGGGGUAAGGGCCCACCAAGGCGACGAUCCGUAGCUGGUCUGAGAGGAUGAUCAGCCACACUGGAACUGAGACACGGUCCAGACUCCUACGGGAGGCAGCAGUGGGGAAUAUUGGACAAUGGGCGCAAGCCUGAUCCAGCCAUACCGCGUGGGUGAAGAAGGCCUUCGGGUUGUAAAGCCCUUUUGUUGGGAAAGAAAAGCAGCAGGUUAAUACCCCGCUGUUCUGACGGUACCCAAAGAAUAAGCACCGGCUAACUUCGUG
rnacentral:rRNA from 1 species